UACGUAGGGUGCGAGCGUUGUCCGGAAUUAUUGGGCGUAAAGAGCUCGUAGGCGGUUUGUCGCGUCGACUGUGAAAACCUACAGCUUAACUGUGGGCUUGCAGUCGAUACGGGCAGACUUGAGUUCGGUAGGGGAGACUGGAAUUCCUGGUGUAGCGGUGAAAUGCGCAGAUAUCAGGAGGAACACCGGUGGCGAAGGCGGGUCUCUGGGCCGAUACUGACACUGAGGAGCGAAAGCGUGGGUAGCAAACAGG
rnacentral:rRNA from 1 species